GGGCCUGUAGCUCAGUUGGACAAGAGCGCCCGUCUUCUAAACGGGUCGUCGCGGGUUCGAGUCCUGCCAGGCUCG
rnacentral:tRNA from 1 species